GGAAAGGGACGGUCCAAGCGUGAGGUCCAGCAAAGGACCAAUACUUACGACCCCAAUGGCCAUACUCGCAAAACUGUGCAGAAACUGGUGAACAACAAACAGAAGCAACAACAACCACAGAGCUGAGGACUCCCACCAGGAAAUGUUUGGCCAGAUUUUCCCUAAGAUGACAAGAUAACGAACAACGGCUUAAACAGGAUGAAUUGCGACUCUGGAUCAUGAUCACGGAACAAUCCGCGCAUGCGUCCUCUGGAGACAGGCAUGUGGAGGAAGUUGACACCCUUUGUCCUUCCAUUCUUAUAUCCACUGUCUUUGUUGUACGAACACUCUAUUCUUCUGACUACAAAAUAAAAUGUAGUAAAUAUU
rnacentral:misc_RNA from 1 species